UUAAUUUGGACGAGUUUAAUACAAUGAUUAAAUUAUAGUAUUAAAUUAUUAGUUUAGUCUUUGGACUGAUACAAAAUGAGGUAGUAAGUUUUAUUAAAACUGAAGAGAGUUUUAAUGUAGUAAAAAAAUUACAGAGACUAAGUCAUAUAUUAGACUAAACCUCAGGGGCUAAAUAAUAUUUAACCCAAAUUUUUAUAUCCUAUGUAAAUAUCGGAUAACAUAAAUUUGAUAUCUAAAUUUUUUAAUUUUUCUAUUUUAGUGUUGGCAACAUUUUUUAUUUAAUCGUAUGUCUGUAGAAAAAAAAUUAUAUAUCAUUGUGGUGUUUUUAGGUCUAUUAUGGUUGCCUGAUUGCUGAUUAGGCUAAAUGGGGCAUCUGUUUUGUCACUAAAAAAAUUAACUCGUAAAAUUUCCAUAGUAGAAAGAAAAUGAAAAGACAAAAAUGACUUUAUAUGAACUUAGGAAGAAUAAACCACAACAGUUUAACUACUAAAACUUAAGAAAACCUAAAUUUAUCCUUCUACUCUUUAUAAUGUAAGCCGUUGAAAUUGGGAAUCAAGAAUUAUAAUAUGAUCUUUAAUCGAUUUGAAUUGAAAUUCACAGUGAGACUUUGAUGAUUUAAAUUAGAGAUUGAAGUAGUUUGCUAGAUGUUGCCUUCAUAUGAAAAGUUGUUUCUUUAUUCUGUAGGUGUACUUGAAGAAGGCAUUUCACAUGAAGAAAGUGAAGAUACUGAAGUUGAGAGAGGAGUUGAAAGAAAUGAAGAUGCAGAUAUAGAAUAUAUGUGUGCGGAGGAAGAUCCAUAUUUGAUUUAGUGUGAGUUUCUUUCUGGUGAUGAUAAGGAGCUGGAGAGGACUAGACAUGUAUACAUAAAUUUAAGAAGAGUUAAGUUGGAGGAGUAAGCGCAUGCCAAGAAUCAUAAACCCACAAUUUUGUUCUUCCAUUACUUUGUUGUUUUCUCUCUUUUUUGAAUGGAUAUACUCUUGUUUACUUUUGAUUUCCUUCCUUUUCUAUUUCAAUUGUUCUUUUGCUAA